GGGUACUGGAAUGUGCUGUGGCGGUGUCUGGUGGUACCGUGGCUGUGGUACUGGGUCGUACCGCGGCUGUGGUGCCGGGUGGUACUAUGGAGGAACAGGCUCCUGCCGGGGUGGCUCGGGAUCAGCCUGCUGUAGCGGGGGCUCAACCUGCGAUAGCGAAGGAGGUCCGGAUAACUCCCUUCUCUCCUCUCGCCUUUGCUGGGCAGCUACGAGAGCUUCCACCAUCUCAAAUAGUCUGUCUAAAUCCUCCCGAAGGGAA
rnacentral:lncRNA from 1 species